CUGCUGCCUUCCGUAGGAGUCUGGGCCGUGUCUCAGUCCCAGUGUGGCCGGUCACCCUCUCAGGUCGGCUACGUAUCGUCGCCUUGGUGAGCCGUUACCUCACCAACCAGCUAAUGCGCCAUAAGUCCAUCCUCUACCAGUGCCUUGCAGCACUUUAAUACGGUCACCAUGCAGUGUCCCUACCUAUGCGGUCUUAGCUGCCGUUUCCAGCAGUUAUCCCCCUGUAAAGGCCAGGUUACUUAUGUUA
rnacentral:rRNA from 1 species